rnacentral:rRNA from 1 species
GAUGAACGCUGGCGGCGUGCCUAAUACAUGCAAGUCGAGCGAACAGACGAGGAGCUUGCUCCUCUGACGUUAGCGGCGGACGGGUGAGUAACACGUGGAUAACCUACCUAUAAGACUGGGAUAACUUCGGGAAACCGGAGCUAAUACCGGAUAAUAUAUUGAACCGCAUGGUUCAAUAGUGAAAGACGGCUUUGCUGUCACUUAUAGAUGGAUCCGCGCCGCAUUAGCUAGUUGGUAAGGUAACAGCUUACCAAGGCAACGAUGCGUAGCCGACCUGAGAGGGUGAUCGGCCACACUGGAACUGAGACACGGUCCAGACUCCUACGGGAGGCAGCAGUAGGGAAUCCUCCGCAAUGGGCGAAAGCCUGACGGAGCAACGCCGCGUGAGUGAUGAAGGUCUUCGGAUCGUAAAACUCUGUUAUUAGGGAAGAACAAAUGUGUAAGUAACUAUGCACGUCUUGACGGUACCUAAUCAGAAAGCCACGGCUAACUACGUG